GGGGCGUUAGCUCAGUUGGUAGAGCAUCGGCCUUUUAAGCCGCUGGUCAUAGGUUCGAAUCCUAUACGCCCCACCA
rnacentral:tRNA from 1 species